GACGAACGCUGGCGGCGUGCUUAACACAUGCAAGUCGAACGAUGAAGCCCAGCUUGCUGGGUGGAAGAGUGGCGAACGGGUGAGUAACACGUGAGUAACCUGCCCUGAACUCUGGGAUAAGCACUGGAAACGGUGUCUAAUACUGGAUACGACCUAUCACCGCAUGGUGUGUGGGUGGAAAGAUUUAUCGGUACUGGAUGGACUCGCGGCCUAUCAGCUAGAUGGUGAGGUAAUGGCACACCAUGGCGACGAAGGGUAGCCCGCCUGAGAGGGUGACCGGCCACACUGGGACUGAGAGACGGCGCAGACUCCAACGGGAGGCAGCAGUGGGGAAUAUUGCCCAAUCGGCGCAAGCCUGAUGAAGCAACGCCGCGUGUGGGAUGACGGCCUUCGGGUUGUAAAACUCUUUUAGUAGGGAAGAAGCGAAAGUGACGGUACCUGAAGAAAAAGCACCGGCUAACUACGUG
rnacentral:rRNA from 1 species